CUUGCCUGCACCUGCCGGCGACCGGCGCACGGGUGAGUAACACGUAUGGAACCUGCCCGCCACAGGGGGAUAACCCGGGGAAACCCGGCCUAAUACCCCAUGCCGCCCGGACCGGGCAUCCGGUCCGGGCGAAAGGAGGAAUCCGGUGGCGGCUGGGCAUGCGGCGCAUUAGCUUGACGGCGGGGUAACGGCCCACCGUGGCGACGAUGCGUAGGGGUUCUGAGAGGAAGGCCCCCCACACUGGAACUGAGACACGGUCCGGACUCCUACGGGAGGCAGCAG
rnacentral:rRNA from 1 species